rnacentral:lncRNA from 1 species
CUUUGGGAGGCCAAGGCGGGCGGAUCACGAGGUCAGGAGAUCGAGACCAUCCUGGCUAACACGGUGAAACCCCGUCUCUACUAAAAAUACAAAAAAUUGGCCGGGCAUGGUGGCGGGCGCCUGUAGUCCCAGCUACUCAGGAGGCUGAGGCAGGAGAAUGGCAUAAACCCGGGAGGCAGAGCUUGCAGUGAGCCGAGAUCGCGCCACUGCACUCCAGCCUG